GCUCAUUAAAUCAGUUAUGGUUCACUAGAUCGUACAGUUUACAUGGAUAACUGUGGUAAUUCUAGAGCUAAUACAUGCAACCAGUCCGUGCCCUCGUGGUGCGGACGCAGUUAUUUGCCCAAGACCAAUCCGGCCCUCGGGUCGUUCAAUUGGUGACUCUGAAUAACCGAAGCAGAGCGCUUGGUCUCGUACCGGCGCCAGAUCUUUCAAGUGUCUGACUUAUCAGCUUGUUGUUAGGUUAUGUUCCUAACAAGGCUUUCACGGGUAACGGAGUGUCAGGGCCCGACACCGGAGAGGGAGCCUGAGAAACGGCUACCACAUCCAAGGAAGGCAGCAGGCGCGCAAAUUACCCACUCCCGGCACGGGGAGGUAGUGACGAAAAAUAACGAUGCGAGAGCUUUUAGCUUCUCGUAAUCGGAAUGGGUACACUUUAAAUCCUUUAACGAGGAUCUAUUGGAGGGCAAGUCUGGUGCCAGCAGCCGCGGUAAUUCCAGCU
rnacentral:rRNA from 1 species